AGAAAUCGGGCGUCCACCUGGAGAACAAGGAUAAAGAAAAGAAGAAAUCAGGCGUCCACCUGGAGAACAAGGACAAAGAAAAAUAGAAAUCAGGCAUCCACCUGGAGAACAAGGAAAAAGAAAAAUAGAAAUCAGGCGUCCACCUGGAGAACAAGAACAAAGGAAAGAAGUAAUCAGGCAUCCACCUGGAGAACAAGGACAAAGGAAGGAAGAAAUCAGGCGUCCACCUGGAGAACAAGGAUAAAAGAAAUAGAAAUCAGGCACCCACCUGGAGAAUAAGGGAAUAUAAUUG
rnacentral:lncRNA from 1 species